UUCAUAAUUUGUGAAUGUCUGCAUAACUACCGCCCAAGCAGAAAGCAAAAAUAAUUUUGUUAAGAUUCAAUUAUAAAAUUUGCAACAUACAAUCUUUUAAUGUUUCUAAAAAGUUUUGGUCUGUAUCUCUUAUAUACAGGUAUGUACAGAGUACAAUUUUUUAAACGCACAAACAAGAAUGUUGCGAAUUGAAUAACAAAAUGGACGAUGGUCACAAGGUUAAAAUUACGAAGAAUUGUAGGAUUAUCAAGAAAUAAUACCUAUCGUUUUAUUUUUUGGACAAACAUAAAUCUUUUGAGCCGGAAAAGUGACAUGGAAUGUAAUCGAAUCGUGGUUUUUUUGAAAAGCGGUAACAGGAACGAAAAUUGAAGCUGUGGAACUAGGGAUUUUUAAUAAUAAAUCAGAGAUGCAUUUUCAUCUUGUACUUGAUCAAAUUUUUCCGUUAAUAUUUUAAAUUCUUCUUUCAUGCGAUUUAAAUUUUGUCUUAUUGUUAAUAAUUCUUGUUUCUUUUCUUACCAUCAUCUAAUACCGCCUGCACGUUACUUUCCUUAACAACGCUAUCCUUCCGACGGUACGAGUAAAGUAAAAAAGUUCUUCGGGCACUAGAAGAAAUAGCAUUUGAUUUACGACAAUCUUGUGGGUCACAUUUAAAUUUUAUUUGUUUAUUCUAGUACAAAACACCAAAAGAAAAAUAAAAGUAUGUAAUGUAGUGUAUUUUUUCCAAUAUAAUAAUUAAAAAUUUCACCAGUUUGUAAGAGCCUUGUAAAUUAGCAAGUCCUUUAGAUUGUUUUUUAAAACGUAACGCAAGAAACUUUGUAUUAAGUUGUUUUAGUCGAUAAAUUUUCCUAUUGGCUAGUUCUAUAUU